UCCCACCACCCAACAGUUCUCAAGAACCUGCGCAAAAUGAACGCUCUCCUCCUCCCUCCACCCUUAUCCACCACCAACCGCUUCCUCCGCCACCGGAACCUCUACCAACCACUGCCACAAUCGCUCUCCUCCUCUACCUUUCACAUAAGCCACUCACAUCUCCGUGCAUCACCCUCCUUUUCCUCUUCCCCUUUCUUAUCCGAAGAUGACACAAUUACACAAGACGCCGUCGUUUCCCUCUACCCCCAUCGCAGGUACGACUUCUCUCCCCUCCUCCAGUUCCUCUCCACCUACAAUUCGGACUCCGAAACAUCCGAUUCCAACUCACCCACGUCACUCGACCAGACCGAGCUACGGCUCGCUGAGUCAUACCGAGUAGUCCCAGGUCCACUAUGGCACUCUCUUCUCAAAUCCCUGACAUCUUCUUCAACAUCCUCUUUCGAAAUCGCAUACGCCCUCGUUACUUGGCUCCAGAAGCAUAAUCUCUGUUUCUCAUAUGAACUGCUCUACUCAAUUUUAAUCCAUGCCCUCGGACGCUCCGAGAAGUUAUACGAAGCUUUUUUGUUAUCUCAGAAACAAACGAUGACUCCCAUUACGUAUAAUGCACUGAUUGGUGCAUGCGCGCGUAACGAUGAGUUGGAGAAAGCCAUCAAUUUGAUGAACAGGAUGCGGCGGGAAGGUUACCAAUCAGAUUUUGUGAAUUACAGCUUAAUUAUUCAGUCUUUAGUUCGUAGUAAUAAAAUCGAUUCAGUGUUGUUAGAAAAAUUGUACGCUGAAAUGAUAUCAGAUGCUAUCGAGCUAGAUGGGCAAUUGUUGAAUGAUAUAGUUUUAGGGUUUGCUAAAUCAGGUGAUGUCGAUAGAGCUAUGUACUUCUUAGGUGUGAUUCAAGGGAAAGGGAUGAACCCAAGAACCUCCACUGUCGUCUCUUUGAUUUUGCAGUUGGGGAAUUUGGGUAGAGCCGAGGAGGCGGAAGCCAUUUUUGAAGAAAUUAAAGAAGGCGGAGUGAUACCCAGAACCAGAGCCUACAAUGCUGUGUUAAAAGGGUAUGUUAAAAAUGGUAGCUUGAAAGAUGCAGAGUCAAUAGUAAGUGAAAUGGAGAAAAAUGGGGUUUCACCUGAUGAUCAUACAUAUAGCCUUUUGAUUGAUGCAUAUGGGAACGUGGGUAGAUGGGAAAGUGCAAGAAUCGUGCUGAAAGAGAUGGAAUCCAACAAUGUAAAGCCAAACUCAUUAGUUUUCAGUAGGAUUUUAGCAAGUUAUCGUGACAGAGGUGAGUGGCAAAAAACAUUUAAAGUAUUAAAAGAGAUGCAGAAAUGUGGAGUAAAGCCAGAUAGACAAUUCUAUAAUGUUAUGAUCGAUACAUUUGGAAAAUACAAUAUCCUUGAUCAUGUAAUGGCAACAGUGGAACGAAUGAAAGUUGAUGGGAUUGAGCCAGAUACUGUAACAAUGAACACACUCAUAGAUUGUUACUGUAAAUCAGGGGAUCACAAGAAAGCAGAGAACCUGUUCGAUGAAAUGCAGCAAAGAGGGUGUUUACCUUGUACAACCACUUAUAACAUAAUGAUCAAUUCUUUUGGGCAACAGGAGAAAUGGGUUGAUGUUAAACACUUGUUGGGGAAGAUGCAGAGUGAAGGUUUAUUGCCAAAUGUUGUUACUUAUACUACACUGAUUGAUGUAUAUGGAAAAUCAGGGAGAUAUACAGAUGCAAUCGAGUGCUUAGAGGUGAUGAAGUCUGCUGGUUUAAAGCCAUCAUUGACUAUGUAUAACGCCUUGAUUAAUGCCUAUGCACAAAGGGGUUUAUCAAAUCAAGCAGCUAAUACGUUUAGGAUCAUGACAAGUGAUGGUUUGAAGCCGAGUAAUUUAGCUCUAAAUGCAUUAAUCAAUGCAUUUGGUGAGGAUAGAAGAGAUGUUGAAGCCUUUGCAGUUUUACAAUACAUGAAGGAAAAUGGUGUGAAACCGGAUGUUGUCACAUACACUACUCUCAUGAAAGCUUUAAUUCGCGUGGAGAAAUUUAGUGAGGUUCCACGUGUAUAUGAGGAAAUGGUAUCAUAUGGGUGCACUCCAGAUGGGAAAGCUAGGGCUACACUAAGGUCUGCUUUGAGGUACAUGAGAAAGACUCUUGAGUCUUGAAUCAUAUAGUACAAACCUUAAACGAGUCAAAAGUACUAGGUCAGCUAACAGAAAAACUGCAGACUCAAUCACAUGUGACACGAGGUAUAUAUAUCGACUUUUAAGGAUGUGAAGCUCAUGGGUCGUUUAAAAUGAUGUGAAGGAGUGAAUUAUAUUGAACACCAUGAUACAUACGAGGUUUGUGUACUUUUGUGUUAUAUUUGCACAUACCAAGGUUUUAGUGUAAUCAUGUAAAUGUACACUAUAAGGAACUUAAAUUAGAUACAAAAAUUGUUUCUAAAUAGUGCAACUUUGGAUUUUGUCACGAGAUAUAACAUUUUUUUACUAAGUUA